AUUGAACGCUGGCGGCAGGCCUAACACAUGCAAGUCGAGCGGAAGAAGGGAGCUUGCUCCUGGAUGCAGCGGCGGACGGGUGGGUAAUGCCUAGGAAUCUGCCUGGUAGUGGGGGAUAACGUCCGGAAACGGGCGCUAAUACCGCAUACGUCCUGAGGGAGAAAGAGGGGGAUCUUCGGACCUCACGCUAUCAGAUGAGCCUAGGUCGGAUUAGCUAGUUGGUGGGGUAAAGGCCUACCAAGGCGACGAUCCGUAACUGGUCUGAGAGGAUGAUCAGUCACACUGGAACUGAGACACGGUCCAGACUCCUACGGGAGGCAGCAGUGGGGAAUAUUGGACAAUGGGCGAAAGCCUGAUCCAGCCAUGCCGCGUGUGUGAAGAAGGUCUUCGGAUUGUAAAGCACUUUUAGUUGGGAGGAAGGGCAGUAAGUUAAUACCUUGCUGUUUUGACGUUACCAACAGAAUAAGCACCGGCUAACUUCGUG
rnacentral:rRNA from 1 species